rnacentral:rRNA from 1 species
UUGAAUGGCCGCAGUAUUUUAACUGUGCAAAGGUAGCAUAAUCAUUAGUCUUUUAAUUGAAGGCUUGUAUGAAUGGUUGGACAAGAUAUAUAUUGUUUCAUAUAAAUUUAUAGAAUUUUAUUUUUUAGUUAAAAAGCUAAAAUUUUAUUAAAAGACGAGAAGACCCUAUAGAUCUUUAUAAUUAUUAAGUUUUAUUUAUUAAGAAUAUUUUAUAUUUAAUUUAGAUAAUUAUUUUAUUGGGGUGAUAGUAAGAUUAAUUGAACUCUUAUUUAAAUUAAUACAUAAAUUAAUGAUUAAUUGAUCCAAUAUUAUUGAUCAGUAAAAUAAGUUACCUUAGGGAUAACAGCGUAAUUUUUUUAGAGAGUUCAUAUCGAUAAAAAAGAUUGCGACCUCGAUGUUGGAUUAAGAGAUAAAUUUGGGCGCAGCCGUUCAAAUUUAAAGUCUGUUCGACUUUUUGAUUCUUACAUGA